rnacentral:sRNA from 1 species
CCGAGUUUUCAACUCCCAAACCCAUAUGUGAACCUACCUAUUGUUGCUUCGGCGGACUCGCCCCAGCCCGGACGCGGACUGGACCAGCGGCCGCCGGGGACCCUCAAACUCUUGUAUUACCAGACAUAUUCUGAAUACGACGCAAGAAAACAUAAUUA